rnacentral:rRNA from 1 species
UACGUAGGGGGCAAGCGUUGUCCGGAAUCACUGGGCGUAAAGCGCACGUAGGCGGAUUGCUAAGUCAGGGGUGAAAUCCUGGAGCUCAACUCCAGAACUGCCUUUGAUACUGGCGAUCUCGAGUCCGGGAGAGGUGAGUGGAACUGCGAGUGUAGAGGUGAAAUUCGUAGAUAUUCGCAAGAACACCAGUGGCGAAGGCGGCUCACUGGCCCGGUACUGACGCUGAGGUGCGAAAGCGUGGGGAGCAAACAGG